rnacentral:lncRNA from 1 species
ACUGCACUAAAAUGCAGAGAAGAAUUGGCUUAAGUUUAUACAAAUAAAAACUAAUUUCUCUUCAGAGUAUUUUCUAAAAGUUAUAUGGCCGCGAUGGAUAUGAAGGGCAAAGGUGGAAAAAUAUGUUUUAAGAACACUAAUCUAUAUGGCGUU